rnacentral:rRNA from 1 species
UAUGUGAUCGUCUCUCGCAUAUCAAUAAGCGGAGGAAAAGAAACUAACAAGGAUUCCCCUAGUAACGGCGAGUGAAGCGGGAAGAGCUCAAAUUUGAAAUCUUAAAGGGUUUCCCUUUACGAAUUGUAGUUUAAAGAAGUGUUUUCUGUUGAGGUUUUGGUAAAAGUUCUUUGGAAUAGGACAUCAUAGAGGGUGAGAAUCCCGUAUUUGACCUUUACUUUCAACUUUGUGAUACACUUUCAAAGAGUCGGAUUGUUUGGGAAUGCAGUCCAAAAUGGGUGGUAAAUUUCAUCUAAAGCUAAAUAUUGGCGAGAGACCGAUAGCGAACAAGUACCGUGAGGGAAAGAUGAAAAGGAACUUUGAAAAGAGAGUUAAACAGUACGUGAAAUUGUCAAAAGGGAAGCGUUUGACACCAGUGUUGUUUUUCUGAAAAUCAAUUAAAGAACUGUUUAUGCUAAGUUGUUUAGACUUUAUCAGCUAACUGUUUAGUUUUGAGCUUUUCUUUAAUGCACUUUUCAGUUAACAAGUCAACAUCAAUUUCUUUUGCUGUAAAAAAGCUUGAGGAAGGUGGCUUGAGAUUCGUCUUAAGUGUUUAUAGCCUCUUGCCUAUGCAGUCGGAGAGAUUGAGGUCUGCAGCGUAGAUCCUUCGGGGCUAAAUGCAUUUGUGCUAAGUUAUAGCAUUUUAUAGACAACUUGUUGACUAUGAUUUGUCUUGUAGCUUACUCGCUUAUGUUAUUUUACCUACGCUUAGGAUGUUGAUAUGCAUGACUGAUAU